rnacentral:rRNA from 1 species
GACGAACGCUGGCGGCGUGCUUAACACAUGCAAGUCGAACGGAAAGGCCCUGCUUUUGUGGGGUGCUCGAGAGGCGAACGGGUGAGUAACACGUGAGUAGCCUGCCCUUGACUUUGGGAUAACUUCAGGAAACUGGGGCUAAUACCGGAUAGGAGCUCCUGCUGCAUGGUGGGGGUUGGAAAGUUUCGGCGGUUGGGGAUGGACUCGCGGCUUAUCAGCUUGUUGGUGGGGUAGUGGCUUACCAAGGCUUUGACGGGUAGCCGGCCUGAGAGGGUGACCGGCCACAUUGGGACUGAGAUACGGCCCAGACUCCUACGGGAGGCAGCAGUGGGGAAUAUUGCACAAUGGGCGGAAGCCUGAUGCAGCAACGCCGCGUGCGGGAUGACGGCCUUCGGGUUGUAAACCGCUUUCGCCUGUGACGAAGCGUGAGUGACGGUAAUGGGUAAAGAAGCACCGGCUAACUACGUG